rnacentral:tRNA from 1 species
GCGCGGAUGGCUCAGUGGUAGAGCAUCGCCUUGCCAAGGCGAGGGUCGCGGGUUCGAAUCCCGUUUCGCGCU